rnacentral:lncRNA from 1 species
UUUUCUGGUGUUCAUCUAUAUUUAAAUGAAGGAUACGAAUCAUCAUUGUAAUGGCAACUUUAGCUGUCAGGGAUCCUGUUGCAGCUCUGCCUCAGCCAGUCUGUGCACAGUGUCUUCUAAGUAGAAGAUGAAGGAUGCUUUGCAGGUGACGGACUCGAACCUUUCAAAUAUUUUGAGUGGUUGGAAAAAAGAAACACAAAACAAUUCUAUUUUCUGAGUUUUAAAAAUGUCUGAACCCCUGGAAGACCCAGCCAGACCAAAUCUGCUUUU